GAUGAACGCUGGCGGCGUGCCUAAUACGUGCAAGUCGAGCGAACGGACGAGAAGCUUGCUUCUCUGAUGUUAGCGGCGGACGGGUGAGUAACACGUGGAUAACCUACCUAUAAGACUGGGAUAACUUCGGGAAACCGGAGCUAAUACCGGAUAAUAUUUUGAACCGCAUGGUUCAAAAGUGAAAGACGGUCUUGCUGUCACUUAUAGAUGGAUCCGCGCUGCAUUAGCUAGUUGGUAAGGUAACGGCUUACCAAGGCAACGAUGCAUAGCCGACCUGAGAGGGUGAUCGGCCACACUGGAACUGAGACACGGUCCAGACUCCUACGGGGGGCAGCAGUAGGGAAUCUUCCGCAAUGGGCGAAAGCCUGACGGAGCAACGCCGCGUGAGUGAUGAAGGUCUUCGGAUCGUAAAACUCUGUUAUUAGGGAAGAACAUAUGUGUAAGUAACUGUGCACAUCUUGACGGUACCUAAUCAGAAAGCCACGGCUAACUACGUG
rnacentral:rRNA from 1 species